rnacentral:rRNA from 1 species
AUGGACGCCAUGGAGUUGUCCUGGGGCGCGCGGUGCGCCGGGCUGGCCUUCUUCGUCCUGUCCGUCCUCGUGGUGGCGCUCGCCGCGGUGCUCCUGCUCGUGCGCCGGUGGCCGUGGUGCAGUUGCCAUGUCUGCCGGACGUACCUCACGGGCUCCUGGGCCAAGGACUUCACCAACCUCGGCGACUGGUACGCGCACCUGCUGCGCGAGUCGCCCACGGGCACCGUCCACAUCCACGUCCUCGGCUGCACCGUCACCGCCAACCCGGCCAACGUCGAGUACAUGCUCAAGACCAACUUCGAAAACUUCCCCAAGGGCAAGCGCUUCUCCGCGCUCCUCGGCGACCUCCUCGGCGGCGGCAUCUUCAACGUCGACGGCGACGCGUGGCGCCACCAGCGCAAGAUGGCCAGCCUCGAGCUCGGCAGCGUCACCGUGCACUCCUACGCCUACAAGAUCGUCGCCCAUGAGGUAGAGACCCGCCUCCUGCCCGUCCUCGCCGACGCAGCCGACAAGGGCAAGGUGGUCGACCUCCAGGACGUGUUCCGCCGCUUCGCCUUCGACACCAUCUGCAAGAUCUCCUUCGGCUUGGACCCGGGCUGCCUCGACCUCGACAUGCCCAUGUCGGACCUGGCGAACGCGUUCGACACCGCCUCGCGCCUCUCCGCCAUGCGGGGCGCGGCGGCCUCGCCGUUGGUGUGGAAGAUGAAGCGGAUGCUCAACAUUGGGUCCGAGAGGGAGCUCAAGAAGGCCAUCAAGCUCGUCGACGACCUCGCGUCGGCGAUGAUUCUACAGCGGCGGAAGCUGGGUUUUGAGAAUAGCCAUGACCUCCUCUCCCGGUUCAUGGCCUCGGACGGAGACGUGCAAGCCAUGGACGACAAGUACCUCCGCGACAUCGUGGUCAGCUUCCUCCUCGCCGGGCGGGACACGGUGGCCUCCGCGCUGACCACGCUCUUCAUCCACCUGUCCAAGAACCCUGAAGUCGCGGCCGCCAUUCGCGCAGAAGCCGGCGGCGACAAGCCCUCCACGUACCAGCAUCUCAAGAGCCUGCAGUACACGCACGCGGUGCUGUACGAGAACAUGCGCCUGUUCCCGCCCGUGCAGUUCGACUCCAAGUUCAGCGCCGCCGCCGAUGUGCUCCCGGACGGAACCUACGUGGAAGGAGACUCGCGCGUGAUGUACCACCCGUACGCCAUGGGCCGCAUGCCGAGCAUCUGGGGCGCCGAUCACGAGGCGUUCCGCCCCGACCGGUGGCUCACUGGACCCGGUGGUUCGUUCGCGCCGCCAAGCCUGUAUAAGUACCCAGUGUUCCAGGCCGGCCUCCGCGUCUGCCUCGGCAAGGAGCUCGCCGUCACGGAGAUGAAGGCGGUCAGCGUGGCCGUGGUGAGAGCUUUCGACGUGGAGGUUGUCGGAGAGAAUGGCCGUAGUGGCUGGGCGCCAAGAUUUGUGGCGGGGCUCACGGCGUCCAUCAGCGGCGGGCUCCCAGUGAGGAUCAAGCGCGCUUCGACGUCGGGUGCAGACUUCAAAUAA